GCACCUACGGGAGGCAGCAGUGGGGAAUAUUGGGCAAUGGGCGCAAGCCUGACCCAGCAACGCCGCGUGAAGGAAGAAGGCUUUCGGGUUGUAAACUUCUUUUCUUGGGGACGAAGAAAGUGACGGUACCCAAGGAAUAAGCCACGGCUAACUACGUGCCAGCAGCCGCGGUAAUACGUAGGUGGCAAGCGUUAUCCGGAUUUACUGGGUGUAAAGGGCGUGUAGGCGGGAAAGCAAGUCAGAUGUGAAAACCAUGGGCUCAACCUGUGGCCUGCAUUUGAACCUGUUUUUCUUGAGUACUGGAG
rnacentral:rRNA from 1 species